CCGGCGCACGGGUGAGUAACGCGUAUGCAACUUACCUAUCAGGAGGGGAUACCGGCGAAAGUCGGACUAAUACCGCAUGAAGCAGGGGUCCCGCAUGGGGAUAUUUGCUAAAGAUUCAUCGCUGAUAGAUAGGCAUGCGUUCCAUUAGGCAUUGGCGGGGUAACGGCCCACCAAACCGACGAUGGAUAGGGGUUCUGAGAGGAAGGUCCCCCACAUUGGUACUGAGACACGGACCAA
rnacentral:rRNA from 1 species